rnacentral:rRNA from 1 species
GACAGAGGUGGCAAGCGUUGCUCGGAUUCACUGGGCUUAAAGGGCGCGUAGGCGGCUUUGUAAGUCCGAGGUGGAAUUCCACAGCUUAACUGUGGAACUGCCUUGGAAACUGCAAGGCUUGAGUCAGGUAGAGGGAGGCGGAAUUCUCGGUGUAGCGGUGAAAUGCGUAGAGAUCGGGAGGAAUACCAGUGGCGAAGGCGGCCAUCUGGCCUAAUACUGACACUGAGGUGCGAAAGCAUGGGGAGCAAACAGG